rnacentral:rRNA from 1 species
UACGUAGGGUCCGAGCGUUGUCCGGAAUUAUUGGGCGUAAAGAGCUCGUAGGCGGUUUGUCGCGUCUGCUGUGAAAACUCGGGGCUUAACUCCGGGCCUGCAGUGGGUACGGGCAGACUAGAGUGCGGUAGGGGAGACUGGAAUUCCUGGUGUAGCGGUGAAAUGCGCAGAUAUCAGGAGGAACACCAAUGGCGAAGGCAGCUCGCUGGAACGGUACUGACGCUGAGGCGCGAAAGCGUGGGGAGCAAACAGG